AUUUCAGGGCGACUUUGGGAACACAAUAGUCGACUCGCCGACGUUCCCUUAGACGCGUUGCCAUACGUCGUCACCCAUAGAAACGGCUUUCCGCGGGGCAGACUCCAAGUCUCGCCUGUGUGAGCGGGCAGGGGUAGCAGGAAAGGCUGUUUUUCAUUUCCAAGAGAAAACCGUCACCCCGCCCACCUCGAACCUCCUCCCAACAUCUCAGGAUAGAAACGCCGCGCUCAGAAAGAUACAAGUCUUCUCAUUGGAAAUGUUAACCAAGAUGAAUGAAAUGGAAACCAACACCUGGACAUGUCAUGGUGAAAUGUUAGAACACUGGGCACGAAGGAGAUCUGAGGCUGUAUCCCACCAGGACCCAUUCCAAUCCCAGAUGGUACUUAGGAGUUUCAUCAACAACAAGCUUCUCUUCAAUAAAGAUUAUCAGAAGUUUUGUUGGCUACAAAGGACUCAUCCAACUUAGAACUAAACUCUGGAAUAUGGCUUUAUUCUAUUGUUUCUCUCUUUUUUAUUUUUUAGUUUAUUAUUUUUUUUGAAACAGGGUCCCACUCCUGUCAUCCAGGCUGGAGUGCAGUGGCGCCAUCAUGGCUCACUGCAGGCUGGAAUUCCCAGGCUCAGGUGAUCCUCCCACCUCAGCCUCCCAAGUAGCUGUGACUACAGGCCUGUGCCACCACGCCCAGCUAAUUUUUUUGUGUUUGUUGUGGAGACAUAGAGAUGGCGUUUUGCCAUGUUGCCCAGGCUGGUCUCAAACUCCUAGACUCAGGUGAAGUGUGAGCCGCCUCUCCUGGCCUAUUCUUUUGUCUCUUAAAGGAUUAAAAUUAAGGAGGUCACAUUUGCCAUGAAAAGUUCAUGAUAUUUUGUUCAUCACUGCAUUUUGCCUUUGAAUGAAAAAGUUUGUUCUUUCUCAGAGAGGCACAUAAAGAUCGGAACUGGUAUAGCAAAGCAGCCUGUGAAGUCAAACUAGUGUGGGUUUGAAUUAUGACUCUGUGAUUUCCUCUUGAGUAAAAUAUUUAACCUCCCUGAGCCUCAGUUUAUUCAUAUACUUGAAUACGGAUAAGAGGACCUAUUUUCCAGGUUUGUGUAAGGCGUUAAGAAGCUAACAUGUAAAGUAGCAUUGUGCGCUGAGAGUUUCAACUCCGGUUGCACGUUAGAAUCAUCUGGGGGCUCUUAAAAACUACAGAUACUGAAGCCCCACCCCUAGAGAUUUGGCUUUAAUUGGUCUUAGGUUGGUGUAUUUUUUAAAGCUUUCCAUGUGUUUCUAAUGUUGAGAAAAACUAACAUGCAUAUAUGUGGCUGGCACAAAG
rnacentral:lncRNA from 10 species